UACGAAGGGGACUAGCGUUGUUCGGAAUUACUGGGCGUAAAGCGCACGUAGGCGGAUUUGUUAGUCAGGGGUGAAAUCCCGGGGCUCAACCUCGGAACUGCCUUUGAUACUGCAAGUCUCGAGUCCGAUAGAGGUGGGUGGAAUUCCUAGUGUAGAGGUGAGAUUCGUAGAUAUUAGGAAGAACACCGGUGGCGAAGGCGGCCCACUGGAUCGGUACUGACGCUGAGGUGCGAAAGCGUGGGGAGCAAACAGG
rnacentral:rRNA from 1 species